AGGGGUUUGAUCCUGGCUCAGGAUGAACGCUGGCGGCGUGCCUAAUACAUGCAAGUCGAGCGAACGGACGAGAAGCUUGCUUCUCUGAUGUUAGCGGCGGACGGGUGAGUAACACGUGGAUAACCUACCUAUAAGACUGGGAUAACUUCGGGAAACCGGAGCUAAUACCGGAUAAUAUUUUGAACCGCAUGGUUCAAAAGUGAAAGACGGUCUUGCUGUCACUUAUAGAUGGAUCCGCGCUGCAUUAGCUAGUUGGUAAGGUAACGGCUUACCAAGGCAACGAUGCAUAGCCGACCUGAGAGGGUGAUCGGCCACACUGGAACUGAGACACGGUCCAGACUCCUACGGGAGGCAGCAGUAGGGAAUCUUCCGCAAUGGGCGAAAGCCUGACGGAGCAACGCCGCGUGAGUGAUGAAGGUCUUCGGAUCGUAAAACUCUGUUAUUAGGGAAGAACAUAUGUGUAAGUAACUGUGCACAUCUUGACGGUACCUAAUCAGAAAGCCACGGCUAACUACGUGCCAGCAGCCGCGGUAAUACGUAGGUGGCAAGCGUUAUCCGGAAUUAUUGGGCGUAAAGCGCGCGUAGGCGGUUUUUUAAGUCUGAUGUGAAAGCCCACGGCUCAACCGUGGAGGGUCAUUGGAAACUGGAAAACUUGAGUGCAGAAGAGGAAAGUGGAAUUCCAUGUGUAGCGGUGAAAUGCGCAGAGAUAUGGAGGAACACCAGUGGCGAAGGCGACUUUCUGGUCUGUAACUGACGCUGAUGUGCGAAAGCGUGGGGAUCAAACAGGAUUAGAUACCCUGGUAGUCCACGCCGUAAACGAUGAGUGCUAAGUGUUAGGGGGUUUCCGCCCCUUAGUGCUGCAGCUAACGCAUUAAGCACUCCGCCUGGGGAGUACGACCGCAAGGUUGAAACUUAAAGGAAUUGACGGU
rnacentral:rRNA from 1 species